ensembl:snRNA U6 U6 spliceosomal RNA
CUGCUCGGUUCUGCUGCACACAUACUAAAAUUAGAAUGAUGCGGAGAAGAUUGGCACCCCCGUGCAAGGAUGACGCGCAAAUUCGUGAAACGUUCCAUAUUUUU